AAUCCUUUAUAAUAAAUGAAGUAAAAAGAAAACAGAAAGUUGUGACUUAAAGAGUCUCUUGUGACAGAUAUUUUUACAUACUCUUAAAACACAUAAAAUAAGUCUGAGGAGCCAUAAGUGCAGAAUAACCUCAAGCUAAGGUUGUUAUCACAAAAGAUAUGUCAAAAACAUAAAACAAACACUACACUAAGAAUAAGAAGGUAACAACUUGGGUAACUGCAACAUUAAAAUUCCUUUCAAUGGGCUAAUAUAUCCAACUAUUAAAACAGGUCAACUAUUAGAUAAUUAACUAUGGCUGAUCAUUCACGUAUUAAUUUCCAGACCAUACUAUAUCUAUUCAGUAAUACUUCUAUCCAGCCUUGUAACAUUGCUUAUUACAGUAACCAGCAGCUUG
rnacentral:lncRNA from 1 species